GCUCCCGUAGCUCAGUGGAUAGAGCAUCUGCCUUCUAAGCAGAGGGUCGCACGUUCGAGCCGUGCCGGGAGCGCCA
rnacentral:tRNA from 1 species